rnacentral:rRNA from 1 species
GCAAGUCUGGUGCCAGCAGCCGCGGUAAUUCCAGCUCCAAUAGCGUAUAUUAAAGUUGCUGCAUUAAAACGCUCGUAGCUGAACCUUGGCCCUGGUCGACCGGUCCGCCUAACGGUGUGCACUGGCUUGACCGGGGCUUUCUUUCUGGCUAGCCUGUAUGGUAUUUAUUUAUCGUGCAGGGGAACCAGGACUUUUAC